ensembl:snRNA U1 U1 spliceosomal RNA
AUACUUAUCUGGCAGGGGAGUUACCAUGAUCACGAAGGUGGUUUUCCCAGGGCAAGGCUUAUCCAAUCGCACUCCGGAUGUGCUGACCUCUUCGAUUUCCCCAAAUUCGGGAAACUCAGCUGCAUAAUUUGUGGUAGUGGGGGAAUGUGUCCGCGCUCUUCCCUG